UGCUCAGGAUGAACGCUAGCGGCAGGCUUAACACAUGCAAGUCGAGGGGUAUAGUUCUUCGGAAUUAGAGACCGGCGCACGGGUGCGUAACGCGUAUGCAAUCUGCCUUUCACAGAGGGAUAGCCCAGAGAAAUUUGGAUUAAUACCUCAUAGUAUUACAGGAGGGCAUCAUCCAGUAAUUAAAGUCACAACGGUGAAAGAUGAGCAUGCGUCCCAUUAGUUAGUUGGUAAGGUAACGGCUUACCAAGACUUCGAUGGGUAGGGGUCCUGAGAGGGAGAUCCCCCACACUGGUACUGAGACACGGACCAGACUCCUACGGGAGGCAGCAGUGAGGAAUAUUGGUCAAUGGGCGCAAGCCUGAACCAGCCAUGCCGCGUGCAGGAUGACGGUCCUAUGGAUUGUAAACUGCUUUUGUACGAGAAGAAACACUCCGACGUGUCGGAGCUUGACGGUAUCGUAAGAAUAAGGAUCGGCUAACUCCGUGCCAGCAGCCGCGGUAAUACGGAGGAUCCAAGCGUUAUCCGGAAUCAUUGGGUUUAAAGGGUCCGUAGGCGGUCUUGUAAGUCAGUGGUGAAAGCCCAUCGCUCAACGAUGGAACGGCCAUUGAUACUGCAGGACUUGAAUUAUUGGGAAGUAACUAGAAUAUGUAGUGUAGCGGUGAAAUGCUUAGAGAUUACAUGGAAUACCAAUUGCGAAGGCAGGUUACUACCCAAUUGAUUGACGCUGAUGGACGAAAGCGUGGGUAGCGAACAGGAUUAGAUACCCUGGUAGUCCACGCCGUAAACGAUGGAUACUAGCUGUUGGGCGCAAGUUCAGUGGCUAAGCGAAAGUGAUAAGUAUCCCACCUGGGGAGUACGUUCGCAAGAAUGAAACUCAAAGGAAUUGACGGGGGCCCGCACAAGCGGUGGAGCAUGUGGUUUAAUUCGAUGAUACGCGAGGAACCUUACCAAGGCUUAAAUGCAGACUGACCGAUUUGGAAACAGAUCUUUCGCAAGACAGUUUACAAGGUGCUGCAUGGUUGUCGUCAGCUCGUGCCGUGAGGUGUCAGGUUAAGUCCUAUAACGAGCGCAACCCCUGUUGUUAGUUGCCAGCGAGUCAUGUCGGGAACUCUAACAAGACUGCCAGUGCAAACUGUGAGGAAGGUGGGGAUGACGUCAAAUCAUCACGGCCCUUACGCCUUGGGCUACACACGUGCUACAAUGGCCGGUACAGAGAGCAGCCACCUCGCGAGAGGGAGCGAAUCUAUAAAGCCGGUCACAGUUCGGAUCGGAGUCUGCAACUCGACUCCGUGAAGCUGGAAUCGCUAGUAAUCGGAUAUCAGCCAUGAUCCGGUGAAUACGUUCCCGGGCCUUGUACACACCGCCCGUCAAGCCAUGGAAGCUGGGGGUGCCUGAAGUCGGUGACCGCAAGGAGCUGCCUAGGGUAAAACUGGUAACUAGGGCUAAUC
rnacentral:rRNA from 1 species